rnacentral:lncRNA from 1 species
AUCAAUACUAGACCUUCAUAAAAGCCUCCUAAAAGAGUAGCUAUAUCUACUCCUGAAAAAUGUGUGUGCAUGCUGAAUUCUUUUGCGAGGAGACAUUUGAGAAAAAAAUCUUUAUCUAUAACAAAUAGGAAUGGUAAUAGAUCAGAUGCGGGUGGAUUUACUAAUAUCUAUACCUAUCUUAUAAUUAAAAAUCUAACACCCAUAUUUGCCCUAUAGCUAUCUCGGG